CACCUCCCACCUCUUCACCUUCUCUGCGUGGAAACCGCGAGAUCGAGGAAGAGCCUUGCUCCUUGCCGCGCUAGUGACAGGUUUCUCUAACGUGCCUCCUGCGUCGUCGUUGCACCCUCACGUCGACGGGAAGGGUGCGCCACCCAGUAUUCCUGGGCUGGGAUCAAAAUGCAAGCCCCAGAAAUAUUCCUCGAGGUAUGAGGGCAAGGAUUUUCUAUGGUUAUUGGAAUGGCAUCUGAAGCCCCACUGACUGGAAUCCAGCCCUGUCUUCACCGCGUCCUUUGGUCAACAUUAUAUGGUGAUCCAGAUGGGACCCAAGGGUGGUGAACCCCAAAGGAACCAACAACCCCCAGAACCCUGUCAAGUACCCACUUCAUUGCCUUGUCUCUGCUUCCGUGAGUCAUCUUUUUUCUUUCAGUUCGUGCAUUCCCCGGAGACAAAGACUUCAAACAUCACAGUCCAGAGAUUUCAUCUAUUGGAAAAGAUAUCUCCAGAAAGACCCUCUUGAACCCUGUUGGAAAGGCCCCUAUCAGAUUUAACUUCUUAAGUCAUCUCUCCAUCCAAUGUGGAGCUUGAACUCAUAACACCGAGAUCAAGAGUCGCAUGCUCCUCCAUCUGAGCCAUCCAGGCAUCCCCCCACCAUGUGUCACACCUUAAGGAAGCACAAAACCCUGAUUAGAUCUGCACACCAACUGCAUACCUGGAAUUAAAGAUUUCCAGGAAUUGAAGCAGACAGCCAAAGGAGACAGCUUUCUCAAGAUGACUGGACCAGACCUGUAUACCAUUUCUUGCUGUUGGUUCUUAAACCUUAUUUCUCCCCUUUCUUUCAUGAUCUAAUCUAUUGCAAAAGCAGAACCUUUCUGACUAUUGGAUCUGACACCAGAAAUUUUGAUUCAUUCUUCCCUAUUUAUUAUUUGUUCCCCUGCACCCAAGGGAAAUACAAACAAGCUAACUCCUCUUUGCAAGGCUUUUUAAAAAGAGUUUUGUUUAUUUGAGAGAGAGUGUGUGACAGAAAGCAAGAGAAAGCAAGCAAGCAGAGAGAGGCAGAGGGGGAGAGAAAGAGUCUGAAGCAGACUCCAUACUGAGGGUGGGGCCUGACUUGGGGCUCAAUCCCACAACUGGAAGAUCAUGACCUGAGCUGAAACCAAGAGACUGAUGCUCAACUGACUGAGCCACUUAGGUGCCCCUGCGAGGCUUUUAGAAAAGACCCCUUUAGGUGGGAUGGUUCCUUCCAGAAGUUCUCAUCUUAUUCUAUAUAAUUAUUUUUUUAAAGAUCUUAUUUUUAAGUAAUCUGUGCACCCGAUGUGGGGUUCAAACUUAUAACUCUGAGAUCAAGGGUUAUAAACUCUACUGACAGCCAGCUAGGCAUUCCCUCUGUAUGAUCAUUUUUUAAAGUAGGCUCCCUGCCCAGCAUAAAGUCCAAUGUGGGGCUUGAAUGCAUGACCCUGAGAUCAAGAUCUGAGCUGAGAUCAAGAAUUGGACGCUUAACCAGCUGAGCCACCCAGGCUCACCUGUAUAAUCAUUUUUAAGCUUUAUAUCUGUUGCCUCUCAAACCUUUGUAGAAACGAUGUGCCCAAAUAGGAUGAUGCAAGCUUAGCACUUCAAGAUGAUCUUCAACAUUUAUCUCAGAUUGGAAGUGCCUGAUAGUUCUCCCUCCUACCCUUCCCCAUACUCAUAUGUGACCUCAGGGAUUUCCAAUCUAUGUACUUUCCCUGAUAUGGGACAUGACAACCAGGAAGAGUCCUUUCUGACACCAAGGGGACAAAUCCACUAAAUAUGAAAAACAACAACAACAACAAAAAAACAAAAACAAACCCAGCACAACCCUGACUUUUGAUUAGGAAUCCUUUUUGAAGAAAGACCUUGAUCGAAAGGGAGAAAUGUCAAAAUAAAGGAAACCUUAUUUAAGAUGGAGUCAGGAAGCCCUGAAGGGGGAGCUCUCAUGUAUUAUUACUUGCUGUAAGAAGCCUCUCACAUUUCCCAGUAAGAGCAGCUUACUUUAUGUACCCCAGACAGAGGAAGGAAGAAUUUCUUGCCCAGCAACAGCCCAGCCAGUAAGAACUCAGUGAAACAGCCCCUCCCAACUUCCUCUUUUCCCCUGUAAAUUAAGCCCCUCUCCUGUUUUCUGGGUCUGCCUUAUUUUGCUUGUCUUGAAGUAUCAUUCUUCUGCUAUUUCUGAAUAAACUCAUUUUGCUGGUA